rnacentral:rRNA from 1 species
CCCACGGGCAUGCCUCAGUACGGCGAGUGAGCGGCAAGAGCUCAAAUUUGAAAGCUGGCUCCUUCGGAGUCCGCAUUGUAAUUUGCAGAGGAUGCUUUGGGUGCGGCCCCCGUCUAAGUGCCCUGGAACGGGCCGUCAGAGAGGGUGAGAAUCCCGUCUUGGGCGGGGUGUCCGUGCCCGUGUAAAGCUCCUUCGACGAGUCGAGUUGUUUGGGAAUGCAGCUCUAAAUGGGUGGUAAAUUUCAUCUAAAGCUAAAUACUGGCCGGAGACCGAUAGCGCACAAGUAGAGUGAUCGAAAGAUGAAAAGCACUUUGAAAAGAGAGUUAAACAGCACGUGAAAUUGUUGAAAGGGAAGCGCUUGCGACCAGACUCGCCCGCGGGGUUCAGCCGGCAUUCGUGCCGGUGUACUUCCCCGUGGGCGGGCCAGCGUCGGUUUGGGCGGCCGGUCAAAGGCCCCUGGAAUGUAGUACCCUCCGGGGUACCUUAUAGCCAGGGGUGCAAUGCGGCCAGCCUGGACCGAGGAACGCGCUUCGGCACGGACGCUGGCAUAAUGGUCGUAAACGACCCGUCUUGAAACACGGACCAA